GACGAACGCUGGCGGCGUGCUUAACACAUGCAAGUCGAACGGAAAGGCCCCCACCUUGGUGGGGGUGCUCGAGUGGCGAACGGGUGAGUAACACGUGGGUGAUCUGCCCUGUACUUCUGGAUAAGCUUGGGAAACUGGGUCUAAUACCGGAUAGGACCAUGGUUUAGUGUCUCAUGGUGGAAAAAUUAUUGUUUUGGUGCAGUAUGAGCUCGCGGCCUAUCAGCUUGUUGGUGGGGUAAUGGCCUACCAAGGCGUCGACGGGUAGCCGGCCUGAGAGGGUGGACGGCCACAUUGGGACUGAGAUACGGCCCAGACUCCUACGGGAGGCAGCAGUGGGGAAUAUUGCACAAUGGGCGCAAGCCUGAUGCAGCGACGCCGCGUGGGGGAUGACGGCCGUCGGGUUGUAAACUCCUUUCGUUAGGGACGAAGCCACACCUUUUUUGGGUGUGGUGACGGUACCUUUGUUAAGAAGCACCGGCUAACUACGUG
rnacentral:rRNA from 1 species